rnacentral:rRNA from 1 species
GAUGAACGCUGGCGGCGUGCCUAAUACAUGCAAGUCGAGCGAACGGACGAGCAGCUUUCUCCUCUUACGUUAGCGGCGGAUGGGUGAGUAACACGUGGAUAACCUACCUAUAAGACUGGGAUAACUUCGGGAAACCGCAUCUCAUACCGGAUAAUAUUUUGAACCGCAUGGUUCAAUAGUGAAAGACGGUUUUGCUGUCACUUAUAGAUGGAUCCUCGCUGCAUUAGCUAGUUGGUAAGGUAACGGCUUACCAAGGCAACGAUGCGUAGCCGACCUGAGAGGGUGAUCGGCCACACUGGAACUGAGACACGGUCCAGACUCCUACGGGAGGCAGCAGUAGGGAAUCUUCCGCAAUGGGCGAAAGCCUGACGGAGCAACGCCGCGUGAGUGAUGAAGGUCUUCGGAUCGUAAAACUCUGUUAGUAGGGAAGAACAGAUGUGUGAGUAACUGUGCACGUCUUGACGGUACCUAAUCAGAAAGCCACGGCUAGCUACGGG